GACGAACGCUGGCGGCGUGCUUAACACAUGCAAGUCGAACGGUGAAGCGCCUUCCUUUUUGGUUGGUGUGGAUGAGUGGCGAACGGGUGAGUAACACGUGAGUAACCUGCCCCCUUCUUCUGGAUAACCGCAUGAAAGUGUGGCUAAUACGGGAUAUUCUGGGUCUGUCGCAUGAUGGGUCUGGGAUAGAUAUUGUUUCGGUGGGGGUUGGGCUCGCGGCCUAUCAGCUUGUUGGUGGGGUGAUGGCCUACCAAGGCGGUGACGGGUAGCCGGCCUGAGAGGGUGGACGUACACGCUGGUACUGAGAAACGGCCCAGACUCCUACGGGAGGCAGCAGUGGGGAAUAUUGCACAAUGGGCGCAAGCCUGAUGCAGCGACGCCGCGUGAGGGAUGGAGGCCGUCGGGUUGUGAACCUCUUUCGCCAGUGAAGCAGGCCUGCCUGGUUUGUGGGUGGGUUGACGGUAGCUGAAGAAGAAGCGCCGGCUAACUACGUG
rnacentral:rRNA from 1 species